rnacentral:rRNA from 1 species
GACGAACGCCGGCGGCGUGCUUAACACAUGCAAGUCGAGCGAUGAAGUUCCUUCGGGAAUGGAUUAGCGGCGGACGGGUGAGUAACACGUGGGUAACCUGCCUCAUAGAGGGGAAUAGCCUUCCGAAAGGAAGAUUAAUACCGCAUAAGAUUGUAGUACCGCAUGGUAUAGCAAUUAAAGGAGUAAUCCGCUAUGAGAUGGACCCGCGUCGCAUUAGCUAGUUGGUGAGGUAACGGCUCACCAAGGCGACGAUGCGUAGCCGACCUGAGAGGGUGACCGGCCACAUUGGGACUGAGACACGGCCCAGACUCCUACGGGAGGCAGCAGUGGGGAAUAUUGCACAAUGGGGGAAACCUUGAUGCAGCAACGCCGCGUGAGUGAUGACGGUCUUCGGAUUGUAAAGCUCUGUCUUCAGGGAUGAUAAUGACGGUACCUGAGGAGGAAGCCACGGCUAACUACGUGCCAGCAGCCGCCGUAACAC